rnacentral:rRNA from 1 species
GACCCGUCUUGAAACACGGACCAAGGAGUCUAACAUGUGCGCGAGUCACGGGGUCUUGUUUAGGCCCAGAGGCGUAAUGAAAGUGAAGGCCGGACUCGAUUCCGGCUGUGUUGGGACUCUCCGCGCUCGUCGCGGGGAAGCACCAACGACCCGUCCUAUCCUAUUCUUAGGUGGGGCGGAGUUAGAGCGUACACGUUGGGACCCGAAAGAUGGUGAACUAUGCCUGGGCAGGACGAAGCCAGAGGAAACUCUGGUGGAGGUCCGUAGCGGUUCUGACGUGCAAAUCGAUCGUCAGACCCGGGUAUAGGGGCGAAAGACUAAUCGAACCAUCUAGUAGCUGGUUCCUUCCGA